rnacentral:rRNA from 1 species
UGAAUUUUUAUUUAAAUAGCCGCAGUAUAUUGACUGUGCAAAGGUAGCAUAAUCAUUUGUCUUUUAAUUGGAGGCUUGUAUGAAUGGUUUGAUGAGGGAGUAACUUUCUUUAUAUUAAAUAUUGAAUUUAACUUUUAGGUUAAAAGGCUUAGAUAAUUAAAUGGGACGAGAAGACCCUAUAGAAUUUAAUUUAUUUUUAAUAGUUUAAUUUUUUGGUUAAUUUUUUAUCUAUUAUGUUAUAAAUUUUGUUGGGGUGACAGUAAGAUUUUUUUAACUCUUAUAAUUUGAGCUUUACUAAUUAGUAUAUUUAAGAUCCUAAUUUUGGGAUAACUAGAUUAAAUUACCUUAGGGAUAACAGCGUAAUUUCACUGGAGAGUUCAUAUUGAUAGUGGAGUUUGCGACCUCGAUGUUGGAUUAAAAUAAGAUUUAAGUGCAGAAGCUUAA